GAUGAACGCUGGCGGCGUGCCUAAUACAUGCAAGUCGAGCGAACAGCCGCUAAGCUUUCGCAUUAAGCGUUGGCGACUGGCGAACGGGUAACUAAUACGUAGCCUACCUAUCUCACUGUGAUAGCUACGAGACGCCGACGCCAACUCAUACCGCAAUUUACAUAGGCUCACUUCGUUCAGGAAGGAUAGCUUUGCUAACCCUUCUCGAUGAGCUGGCCCCGCGUUGGAUUAGCUAGUUGGUAGGGUAAAGGCUUACCAAGGCGAUGAUGCAUAGCCGACCUGAGAGGGUGAUCGGCCACAUUGGAACUGAGACACGGCCCAGACUCCUACGGGAGGCAGCAGUAGGGAAUCUUCCGCAAUGGGCGAAAGUCUGACGGAGCAACGCCGCGUGAGUGAAGAAGGUCUUCGGAUCGUAAAACUCUGUUGUUAGGGAAGAACAGCCGUGAGAGUAACUGCGAAGCGUUUGACGGUAUCUAACCAGAAAGCCACGGCUAACUACGUG
rnacentral:rRNA from 1 species